AGCGAACGCUGGCGGCAGGCUUAACACAUGCAAGUCGAGCGGGCAUCCUUGUGGUGUCAGCGGCAGACGGGUGAGUAACGCGUGGGAACGUGCCCUUCGUUUCGGAAUAACUCAGGGAAACUUGAGCUAAUACCGGAUACGUGCGAAAACAGCAAGGUUUAUCUGCCGAAGGAUCGGCCCGCGUCUGAUUAGCUAGUUGGUGAGGUUACGGUUCACCAAGGGGACGAUCAGUAGCUGGGCUGAGAGGAUGAGCAGCCACACUGGGACUGAGACACGGUCCGGACUCCUACGGAAGGCAGCAGUGGGGAAUAUAGGAAUAUGGGGGGAAUCAUGAUCCAGCCAGGCUGGUUGAGCGAUGACGGCCUUAGAGUUGUAAAGCUCUUUUCUCCGGGACGAUAAUGACGGUACCGGAGGAAUAAGCACCGGCUAACUUCGUG
rnacentral:rRNA from 1 species